GACGAACGCUGGCGGCGUGCUUAACACAUGCAAGUCGAACGGUAAGGCCCUUCGGGUACGACGAGUGGCGAACGGGUGAGUAACACGUGGGUGAUCUGCCCUGCACUUCGGGAUAAGCCUGGGAAACUGGGUCUAAUACCGGAUAGGACUCCUGGCUUCAUGGUUGGGGGUGUAAAGCUUUUGCGGUGUGGGAUGGGCCCGCGGCCUAUCAGCUUGUUGGUGGGGUAAUGGCCUACCAAGGCGACGACGGGUAGCCGGCCUGAGAGGGUGACCGGCCACACUGGGACUGAGAUACGGCCCAGACUCCUACGGGAGGCAGCAGUGGGGAAUAUUGCACAAUGGGCGCAAGCCUGAUGCAGCGACGCCGCGUGAGGGAUGACGGCCUUC
rnacentral:rRNA from 1 species